rnacentral:rRNA from 1 species
GACGAACGCUGGCGGCGUGCUUAACACAUGCAAGUCGAACGGAAAGGCCCUGCUUUUGUGGGGUGCUCGAGUGGCGAACGGGUGAGUAACACGGGAGUAACCUGCCCUUGACUUUGGGAUAACUUCAGGAAACUGGGGCUAAUACCGGAUAGGAGCUCCUGCUGCAUGGUGGGGGUUGGAAAGUUUCGGCGGUUGGGGAUGGACUCGCGGCUUAUCAGCUUGUUGGUGGGGUAGUGGCUUACCAAGGCUUUGACGGGUAGCCGGCCUGAGAGGGUGACCGGCCACAUUGGGACUGAGAUACGGCCCAGACUCCUACGGGAGGCAGCAGUGGGGAAUAUUGCACAAUGGGCGGAAGCCUGAUGCAGCAACGCCGCGUGCGGGAUGACGGCCUUCGGGUUGUAAACCGCUUUCACCUGUGACGAAGCGUGAGUGACGGUAAUGGGUAAAGAAGCACCGGCUAACUACGUG